UGAAAUCUUCUCUAAAAAGAAACAAGCGAAAAUAUGCUGGCCUAGAUGAAUUUUCUGCUAUUAACAAGGCCAUGGAAGGUGUUCAAGUUGUUAAUGGUUUGGAGUGCAAGAUAUCUUGCAGCACAUACAAGAUAUCGUACGUCUUGGAUACAGAAGAUUUCUUCUUUCGCAGUAAAAGAGGAAAGACAUCAAAGAUAGGAUCAGGCUGCCAUGAUCAGGCUAAAGUAGACCGGUUUCACAGAUUCUUGUGCACAUCACAAUAAUUUAGUUUCUUUUUUCUUGUUUCACAGGGACUCUGGCAUUCAGAAAGAAGCUUAAGAAACAGACGUAGUUUCAAGAUGUGACAUACUGUAUUCUCAUACUCCAGCAAAUCCUCUGCCAGGCCACAACUCGGAAAUGGUACUGGCGGGUAAUUGUAAAUUCCCAUGAGCAGCGCGGUUCACUAUUAGUGUACAUAGCUGAAUGACAUCUUUGUAAGAAAAAAUGUGCUUUGUUUUCUUAGUUUCCUUGCUGGAUAGGUACAGUCUCCUUUUUUCUUUUUCUUUUUUUCUUUCUUUUUUUCCUGUCUCCUCCAGUUCUAAAGUGGGCUCUGAUUUGUAUCUCGGAGUUUCUGGGGGAUUGAAAUUGCCUUAUAUGUAAGUGAAAGAAAGAAUGAAACCAAGGGAAGAGUAGUAAAGGCUUUUAUUCAAAUCUCUUGUUAGAUGGCAA